GCCCUAGUUCUAAAUCCCUAAUCAGAAACCUAAUUUUCCCUUUCCCCAGCCCUGAAGCACGCAGCCCACCCCCUUUCUUCCGAAAACACUAACACAAAAAAUAAAAGAAAAAAACGCAGAAAUGGAAAGGGAGAACAGAGAUCUUGGAAUCGGAGAAGAGGGAGCCAUACUCUGCGCCGUCCAGCUGCUCGCCAUGCCAUCGACGUCGUCGGGAAGAGAAGGAUGCAUGUGAAGGAGGAGCGCAACUUGCUGCGAGAGGCUAUGCGCUGUUGCUGUCACUGAAGCCCACCAUCGUCGUCGCAGUUGAUGAAGCCACUAACGACGCCACUGUUCGUCACUUAAAGGGGAUUUCAUCACAGCCAUUUCUGCCACUACCGACGAGCACAAAGGGAGAGAUAGGAGUUCAUAGAUAAUAGAGACGUGUCGAGGAAGAUAAGGGCUCGUAACACUGCCGCUGUUGCUGUUGACGGAGGUUGCUGUCGAGCUGCACGCCGCUGCCAUCAGAGAAAGCUGCUGCUACUGUGUGUACAGAGAAGAGGAGCGUCGCGAGAAUCAAGGGAAGAAGACAAUGUCCCGCCGCUGCUUCUGGUUUCUGGAAUCAGAGAAAACGCCACUGCCGCUGCUGUUUGUUGGGUUCAAGAUCGCUGAUGCUGUCCUGGAAAAAUGCCCAAAAAUGUUUUUGUUUCCGUCUAGCCAUCAUUAUCGUGAUUAUUGAUGACAUCGCUGCUACAGAGAGUCAUUGGCAUCAUUGUUGCAGUUGCUGCCACAAACUAGGAAAUAAAGGGAAUUGCUGUGUUAGAUCCUGCGAUUACGACAUCAAGGCAGUAGUUCUUAGGGACACGAUUUGUGCGUACGGAAAGUGAAUCUGGUCAGUAUACGAAGUUAUAAGGAGUUGUGGAGUUUUGAGGCGACGAGAGGAAGUGAUCAUGCUUUGUUAAGAGUUCUGAACAAACAUUGUGCCUAUUUAAUUUUAGAUUUUGAAAUUUGGUUUGCAUCAAAUUAUUUUUAUCAACUUUUGCAUCACCUAAUUUAUUUUCUUCUAUGUUUAUGUGAUAUGAUUUUCUUGGAAUCUUUAAAAUAUUCAAAUGGGGAUGUGCAUAUAAAUCUUUUCUUCAUCUUAUAUCAAUUUUCGAGGGCGAAAAUUUUUGUAAGUUGGAUAGAAUGUAACAUCCCGCAUUUUUGAAAAUCUAAAUAUAAAUAAAUUGAGAUUUUAUCUUAUUAAGUUUAAACUUUGUAAUUUUAGAAAUUACUUUAUUAGAAAUAAUUAAAUAGAUUCGGAGAUAAUUUCAUUUUAGACCAACUAAACUUCUUAAGCAAUUUUAUUAUAAUUGAAUAUUUUGCAUAUUCUUAGUAGUUGAAAAAUAAGAAACGAUUGUACAUUUUAAUUUAAGUAACUCCUGUUAUGAAUAAAUUGUGACUUAUUUUAUUAGUUGAGCUCUUAGAGAUUAAUUUAUUAGGGAUGAUUAAAUUGAUUUUUUAUAAAUACUUUGAGUUUAAGUUAAUAAAUAUUUUUGUGUAAUCUUAUUACAAUUGAUCAUUUUAUAUAAUUUGGAAUUAAGUUCUGAUAAUAAAAAAAUAAUAAAAAGUUAUAUCAUUUAGUUUGACUAAUUAGUAUUGAGUUUAAACUAUAUUUUAUAAAAAUGUGAUUAAUAUGCUUAUUUUAUAAUUUAAAUUAGAAAUAAUUAAUUCAACUUACCAAUAUGUUGAUAAAUAAUGUUCUUAGAUAUUUUUAAUAAAGUAUGUUUGAUUUUAAAAUUAUUUUAUCCUUUAAUUUUAUCAAAAUAUCUAUUCAUAUUUAUCUUUAUUCCUUUAUAAAAAUCCUAAUUUUAUCCUAAUUCCCCAAAUUGGAGCCCUAGUUCUAAAUCCCUAAUCAGAAACCUAAUUUCCCCUUUCCCCAGCCCUGAAGCAUGCAGCCCACCCCCUUUCUUCCUAAAACACUAACACAAAAAACAAAAGAAAGAAACGCAGAAAUGGAAAGGGAGAACAGAGAGCUUGGAAUCGGAUAAGAGGGAGCCAUACUCUGCGCCGUCCAGCUGCUCGCCACGCCGUCGACGUCGUCGGGAAGAGAAGGAUGCAUGUGAAGGAGGAGCACGACUUGCUGCGAGAGGCCAUGCGCUGUUGCUGUCACUGAAGCCCGCCAUCGUCAUCGCAGUUGAUGAAGCCACUAACGACGCCACUGUUCGUCGCUUGAAGGGGAUUUCAUCACCGCCAUUUCUGCCACUACCGACGAGCACGAAAGGAGAGAUAGGAGUUCAUAGAGAACAGAGACGUGACGAGGAAGAUAAGGGCUCGUAACACUGCCGCUGUUGCUGGAGACGGAGGUUGCUGUCGAACUGCAUGCCACUGCCAUCAGAGGAAGCUGCUGCUACUGUGUGUACAGAGAAGAGGAGCGUCGCGAGAAUCAAGGGAAGAAGACGCUGUCCCGCCGCUGCUUCUGGUUUCUGGAAUCGGAGAAAACACCACUGCCGCUGCUGUUUGUUGGGUUCAAGAUCGCUGAUGCUGUCCUGAGAGUCAUUGGCAUCACUGUUGCGGUUGCUGCCAUGAACUAGGAAAUAAAGGGAAUUGCUAUGUUAGAUCCUGCGAUUACGAUAUCGAGGUAGGGGGUUUAAAACGAUUUCAAUUUAAGAAUGCCUACAAGGUUUAUUGAAUAAUUGCAAAUAGAUUUAAUAGCUGUGAGUAAUUGAUUGAUUA